GUUUUAUAGAAUGAAUAUAUCUAUAUCUAUAUCUGUCUGUAUCUAUAUCUCAAAUGUCUUACCUUCCAGGCCAGAGAGUGUUUUGGCUGAUGUGUGUAGGGAGUGAGGAGAGUGGCUGUUGGUACCUUAGAGGUUGUACCUAAACAGGGAGAGUGGCCGCAGGGAGGGGAGAAGGGAAGGGGAGAGGGCCUGGCAGCCACCCUGAGUCAGGGAGGGGGAAUCAUCAUCUUGUAGACUUCUAGAAGGGGACAUAGUCAUGACUGGGAUGGUUAGUGGUGUCCUGCUGGGUGGGAGGAGUAGGGAGACAGAGGGCUGGGGCCACUUGGGUGAGGGGUCUUAGAGGAGCACUGAGUGGGUGAGAUAAUUUGUAUUGAGAUUUUGGUGAAGGCCCCUCUGUUCUUCUCCCCAGGCUAGUGUGACAGCAGGCAAGGUCCCAGAGGUGGCGGCCUUGGGCGCAGCCGAGAAGAAGGUGAAGAUGCUGGAGCAGCAGCGCAGUGAGCUGCUGGAAGUGAACAAGCAGUGGGACCAGCAUUUCCAGUCCAUGAAGCAGCAGUAUGAGCAGA
rnacentral:sRNA from 1 species